rnacentral:rRNA from 1 species
UACGUAGGGUGCAAGCGUUAAUCGGAAUUACUGGGCGUAAAGCGUGCGCAGGCGGUUGUGCAAGACAGAUGUGAAAUCCCCGGGCUCAACCUGGGAACUGCAUUUGUGACUGCACGGCUGGAGUGCGGCAGAGGGGGAUGGAAUUCCGCGUGUAGCAGUGAAAUGCGUAGAUAUGCGGAGGAACACCGAUGGCGAAGGCAAUCCCCUGGACCUGUACUGACGCUCAUGCACGAAAGCGUGGGAGCAAACAGG